CAAAUAGGGAAACUAGAAUCUUAUCUAAUUAAAAAGAUCCUAUAUCUAAUAAGAUAAGAAACAAUCAAAUCUUAUCUAGUAAAGAAAAACAUUCAAAUCAUUACUAAUAAAAAUAUAAUAAUUCCUAACUAAUAAAGAUAUAAAAAUAAAAAUUGAAAUAUGCUAAAUUAACCUAACUAAUCAAAUCUGCCUGAAAUCAGCAUCCAUAUCAGGUUCCUAAUUUUCUUUGUUGUUUACAAUGACAGGGAUGCAUAUUGUAUAUCAACAAGAAGGGACAAAAUUGUAGCACUGGUUAUGAUAAUACUAGCUGUAGUGACAAGUGUGAUUGCCAUUUCCACCAACAUAUACAAUGCUUUUAGCAGCAAGUCAUAAAGUUGGUACUCUCAUUAGCAUGUUUGGAUAACUUCUCUUUUCUCUCUUCAGAAAUGAAUUAAUUCUGGCAUCCAGAAGCCACGUACAGAAGCUUCUUUCCAGAAUAAAUUGAUUUUGACUCGUAACCAAUACGAGCAGUAUUUCCAAACAUACACUCUUCCUUUUGUAGGAAGAUUUAUUAGGGGAGGGGGCGUGAAAGGAAGGAAAGACAUUUCCAGGCGCAUUUGUUUGCUUUGGCGCUUGUGUUGCACUGUAUUUUUUUGGAUGUCUUGUUUGUUGUAAAAUUCAUAUAUCUUGAACAGAAUUGCUAUGUAAAAUAUCAAAUCAAAGCAAUGAAAUCCACAUGUCCAUUUCAAGGGUGACAGUGUGGGCUACCAUAUCUUGCAAGAGUGUGCCGUGCAAGGAUCAUAACACUAGUUACGUGUGUGAACGUAUUUAUUAUAUGAAUGACAUAAUGAAUAGAAUAGCAUUUGGCUGAUUAGUCAUCUAGAAUAGAAUACCAUUUGGCUGAUAGGUCAUCUUUUUUGAAUCAUUUCCCAAGUCAUGAUCGUUAAUUAGUUUUGCAGGUUCUUUAAAUACACUUAUCCAGAAGAAUAAUAUUUGGACCACAACUAGUGUAUGAUAGUGAUUAUAGAACAUAAUUAUAGAUGUUGG
rnacentral:lncRNA from 1 species